rnacentral:rRNA from 1 species
CCUACGGGAGGCUGCAGUGGGGAAUAUUGGACAAUGGGCGAAAGCCUGAUCCAGCCAUGCCGCGUGUGUGAAGAAGGCCUUCGGGUUGUAAAGCACUUUCAGUGGGGAAGAAAGCCUUGGGGCUAAUACCCUCGAGGAAGGACAUCACCCACAGAAGAAGCACCGGCUAACUCCGUGCCAGCAGCCGCGGUAAUACGGAGGGUGCGAGCGUUAAUCGGAAUUACUGGGCGUAAAGCGCGCGUAGGCGGUCUGAUAAGCCGGUUGUGAAAGCCCCGGGCUCAACCUGGGAACGGCAUCCGGAACUGUCAGGCUAGAGUGCAGGAGAGGAAGGUAGAAUUCCCGGUGUAGCGGUGAAAUGCGUAGAGAUCGGGAGGAAUACCAGUGGCGAAGGCGGCCUUCUGGACUGACACUGACGCCGAGGUGCGAAAGCGUGGGUAGCAAACAGGAUUAGAUACCCGAGUAGUC